UAAAAAAUAAAUUUUUGAUGAAAGAACCCACGAACUCAUAUUGAACUCGAUUAGGAAAUCUUCAUCAUACCGUAGAUACUAUGAAAAUGGGAAACACGGAAAAAAAUAGAAUAUGGUU
rnacentral:rRNA from 1 species